CUCUUUCUGUUCUGAUGUCCUAACAGGACAGGUCAAACAUCUCACCUGUCCUCUUUCUGUUGUGAUGUCCUAACAGGACAGGUCAAACAUCUCAUCUGUCCUCUUUCUGUUGUGAUGUCCUAACAGGACAGGUCAAACAUCUCAUCUGUCCUCUUUCUGUUGUGAUGUCCUUACAGGACAGGUCAAACAUCUCAUCUGUCCUCUUUCUGUUGUGAUGUCCUUACAGGACAGGUCAAACAUCCCACCUGUCCUCUUUCUGUUGUGAUGUCCUAACAGGACAGGUCAAACAUCUCAUCUGUCCUCUUUCUGUUCUGAUGUCCUAGCAGGACAGGUCAAACAUCCCACCUGUCCUCUUUCUGUUCUGAUGUCCUAACAGGACAGGUCAAACAUCCCACCUGGAUGACGAACAUACUGUGGAAGAAUCAAUCAAACGUCUGUAUUAAAUAAACCACAGAACGGUAUUUUAUAUGACCUUGGUUUUUAUAAAUAGCUAUAUAAAAUAUAAAAUAACAGUAUAACAAAAUCAUUUGAAUUCAGCUGUGUGAACUAUCGUCCUUUAAUCGCUACUCGUUGUACUGGAACAUAACUUACGGGAAUAAAGUCAAGACUGUUUGAAAAAGUGAUUUUUACUUUA